rnacentral:rRNA from 1 species
CCUACGGGGAGCAGCAGUGAGGAAUAUUGGUCAAUGGACGAGAGUCUGAACCAGCCAAGUAGCGUGAAGGAUGACUGCCCUAUGGGUUGUAAACUUCUUUUAUAUGGGAAUAAAAUGUUCCACGUGUGGGAUUUUGUAUGUACCAUAUGAAUAAGGAUCGGCUAACUCCGUGCCAGCAGCCGCGGUAAUACGGAGGAUCCGAGUGUUAUCCGGAUUUAUUGGGUUUAAAGGGAGCGUAGGUGGAUUGUUAAGUCAGUUGUGAAAGUUUGCGGCUCAACCGUAAAAUUGCAGUUGAAACUGGCAGUCUUGAGUACAGUAGAGGUGGGCGGAAUUCGUGGUGUAGCGGUGAAAUGCUUAGAUAUCACGAAGAACUCCGAUUGCGAAGGCAGUUCACUGGACUGCAACUGACACUGAGGCUCGAAAGUGUGGGUAUCAAACAGGAUUAGAUACCCGGGUAGUC